GAGUUUGAUCGUGGCUCAGGAUGAACGCUGGCGGCGUGCCUAACACAUGCAAGUCGAGGGGCAUCAGUUUGGUUUGCUUGCAAACCAAAGAUGGCGACCGGCGCACGGGUGAGUAACACGUAUCCAACCUGCCGAUAACUCGGGGAUAACCCUUCGAAAGAAGGCCUAAUACCCGAUGGUAUAUCCCUUCCGCCUGGUUGGGAUAUUAAAGAACUUCGGUUAUCGAUGGGGAUGCGUUCCAUUAGCUUGUUGGCGGGUAACGCCCACCAAGGCUUCGAUGGAUAGGGGUUCUGAGA
rnacentral:rRNA from 1 species